rnacentral:pre_miRNA from 9 species
UUUCGAUAGCGUAAAAGUUAACUCAAAUUUGUAUGGAGCUGGAACGUUUGCCUACGUUUGCCGCUAGGGGCGCUGUUCCAACUCCAUAUGUAAAUGUGAGCUAACUUUUACGCUAUCGA